GACGAACGCUGGCGGCGUGCUUAACACAUGCGAGUCGAACGGAAAGGCCCCUUUUGGGGUACUCGAGUGGCGAACGGGUGAGUAACACGUGCGUAACCUGCCCUUGACUUCGGGAUAACUUCAGGAAACUGGGGCUAAUACCGGCUAGGAAUCCUUGCUGCAUGGUGGGGGUUGGAAAGCUUCGGCGGGUUUGGAUGGACUCACGGCUUAUCAGCUUGUUGGUGGGGUAGUGGCUUACCAAGGCUUUGACGGGUAGCCGGCCUGAGAGGGCGACCGGCCACAUUGGGACUGAGAUACGGCCCAGACUCCUACGGGAGGCAGCAGUGGGGAAUAUUGCACAAUGGGCGGAAGCCUGAUGCAGCAACGCCGCGUGCGGGAUGACGGCCUUCGGGUUGGAAACCGCUUUCAGCAGGGGCGAAGCUUGUGGUGACGGUACCUGCAGAAGAAGCACCGGCUAACUACGUG
rnacentral:rRNA from 1 species